CGGACGGGUGGGUAACGCGUGAGAAUCUACCUUUUGGACUGGGAUAACAGUUGGAAACGACUGCUAAUACCGGAUGAGCCGCAAGGUAAAAAAGCUAUUGCCAAGAGAGGAGCUCGCGCCUGAUUAGCUAGAUGGUGGGGUAAGAGCCUACCAUGGCGACGAUCAGUAGCUGGUCUGAGAGGAUGAGCAGCCACACUGGGACUGAGACACGGCCCAGACUCCUACGGGAGGCAGCAGUGGGGAAUUUUCCGCAAUGGGCGCAAGCCUGACGGAGCAAUACCGCGUGAGGGAAGAAGGUUUUUGGAUUGUAAACCUCAAAAUUUAGGGAAGAAGAAAGUGACGGUACCUAAUCUAAGCAUCGGCUAACUCCGUGCCAGCAGCCGCGGUAAUACGGAGGAUGCAAGCGUUAUCCGGAAUCAUUGGGCGUAAAGAGUCUGUAGGUGGCACUUCAAGUCUGCUGUCAAAGACCGAAGCUCAACUUCGGGAAGGCGGUGGAAACUGAAGAGCUAGAGAUAAGCAGGGGUAGAGGGAAUUCCCAGUGUAGCGGUGAAAUGCGUAGAGAUUGGGAAGAACACCAGUGGCGAAGGCGCUCUACUGGCCUUAGGCUGACACUGAGAGACGGAAGCUAGGGUAGCGAAAGGGAUUAGAUACCCC
rnacentral:rRNA from 1 species